UAGUAACGGCGAGUGAAGCGNGAGAAGCUCAAAUUUAAAAUCUGGCAGUCCUCGAUUGUCCGAGUUGUAAUCUAGAGAAGCGUUUUCCGCGCUGGACUGUGUACAAGUUUCCUGGAUACGGAACAUCAUAGAGGGUGAGAAUCCCGUCCUUGACACAGACUCCCAGUGCUUUGUGAUGCGCUCUCGACGAGUCGAGUUGUUUGGGAUUGCAGCUCAAAAUGGGAGGUAAAUUCCUUCUAAAGCUAAAUAUUGGCGAGAGACCGAUAGCGGAACAAAGUACCGGKUGAGGGAAAGAUGAAAGCACUUUGGAAAGAGAGUUAAACAGUACGUGAAAUUGUUAAAAGGGAAACGCUUGAAGUCAGUCACGUCUGCUUGGACUCAGCCUUACUUCGGUUUGGUGCAUUUCCUUGUAGACGGGCCAACGUCCAUGUUGUUUGCCGGAAAAGGGGUGAGAGAAUGUGGCUCCUCCGGGAGUGUUAUAGCUUUCAUUCGUAUACGGGGAGUGAUAUGGAGUGGUACAGCAUGCUUCGGUGGUGCUUGUGUUGGCAUAAUGGCUUUAARVGCCCSCKUCUUGAACACGGACCAAGGAGUCUAACAUGUCUGCGAGUGUUUGGGUGGAAAACCCGAGCGCAUAAUGAAAGUGACAGCUGGGAACCCCUUUUGGGAGGCACCGGCGCCCCGAGCUGACCUUCUGUGACGCAUCGGAGGUAGAGCAUAUAUGUUGGGACCCGAAAGAUGGUGAACUAUGCCUGAAUAGGGCGHAGCCAGAGGAAACUCUGGUGGAG
rnacentral:rRNA from 1 species